rnacentral:miRNA from 1 species
GGGCUCCUCUUUCUUGGCAGG